rnacentral:pre_miRNA from 1 species
UGUGCACUGGUGGGGUCCCUCAGCCUGGCCUGCGCCCUCUUGCAAUUUGGGACCCCUCAGGGGAUGUCGGAGAGACAGUGACAGCCUGAUCCCCACAGGCCAGGCUGAGGGACCCCACCGGUGCAUG